rnacentral:rRNA from 1 species
UACGAAGGGUGCAAGCGUUACUCGGAAUUACUGGGCGUAAAGCGUGCGUAGGUGGUUUGUUAAGUCUGUUGUGAAAGCCCCGGGCUCAACCUGGGAAUGGCAAUGGAUACUGGCAAGCUAGAGUGCGGUAGAGGGUAGUGGAAUUCCCGGUGUAGCGGUGAAAUGCGUAGAGAUCGGGAGGAACACCAGUGGCGAAGGCGGCUACCUGGACCAGCACUGACACUGAGGCACGAAAGCUAGGGGAGCAAACGGG